rnacentral:rRNA from 1 species
UACGAAGGGGGCUAGCGUUGCUCGGAAUCACUGGGCGUAAAGGGUGCGUAGGCGGGUUUUUAAGUCAGGGGUGAAAUCCUGGAGCUCAACUCCAGAACUGCCUUUGAUACUGAAGAUCUUGAGUCCGGGAGAGGUGAGUGGAACUGCGAGUGUAGAGGUGAAAUUCGUAGAUAUUCGGAAGAACACCAGUGGCGAAGGCGGCUCACUGGUCCGGUACUGACGCUGAUGUGCGAAAGCGUGGGGAGCAAACAGG